rnacentral:lncRNA from 1 species
CAAUUGGAAGUUGGCAUUUCAGAGCUUGGCUUCAGGCAGUCUGAGGCCUGUUUUAUCAUUCAGAGAGAUUUUGGGUUGAGUUUUUACUAUUGUGAGAAAUCAGCUUCCUUGCAGUUGUUCCCCCACCCUCAUAAGAACACGGUAAUGAUCAACAGGGUCUAAAUAUCCCACUAAAUUCUGAACCCCCUCCAAAGACCGAGAGUCUGAACAGACCUGCUGCUUCUAUUAUUGUUUGAGCUGGUUCAAACUAAAAUUCUUUUAUUCUGUAUCGGAUAUCUCUAAAUAAAUUACCAUUUGAUUUGACUUAUAUUCUGAAUGGCAGUAUGAGAACAAAGAUCAGAGCAGAGAAAUUUAGAAAAAAAUAAAGAAAAAAAAGAAAUUUGUUAGUUGCAAAAAAAAUCUGAGAUUGGAACUUUUGGUUUUUCAUUAAAAUUCAUUUUGUGUUAUCUUAAAAAAUAAAGGAAUAUUCAUGCAAAAAAUUAUAAAUUAUAUGAGGUUUUCAAUUGUCUCUUGGAC